GCCAGGUGUGGUGGCGUGUGCCUGUAGUCCCAGCUACUCAGGAGGCUGAGGCAGGAGAAUCACUUGAACCUGGGAAGUGGAGGUUGCAGUGAGCCGAGAUCAUGCCACUGCACUCCAGCCCGGGUGACAGAGUGAGACUCUGUCUCAA
rnacentral:sRNA from 1 species